rnacentral:rRNA from 1 species
UACGUAGGGAGCAAGCGUUGUCCGGAAUCAUUGGGCGUAAAGCGCGUGUAGGCGGUUCGGUAAGUCUGCUGUGAAAGUCACAGGCUCAACCUGUGAAUGCCGCUGGAAACUGUCUGGCUAGAGUCCGGAAGGGGCGAGUGGAAUUCCUGGUGUAGCGGUGAAAUGCGCAGAUAUCAGGAAGAACACCAAUGGCGAAAGCAGCUCUCUGGGACGGUACUGACGCUGAGAGCGAAAGCGUGGGGAGCGAACAGG